rnacentral:misc_RNA from 1 species
CUGAGUACUACACUCUCUACCCUUUGUGAACUAUUAUACCUGUUGCUUCGGCGGCGCCCGCAAGGGUGCCCGCCGGUCUCAUCAGAAUCUCUGUUUUCGAACCCGACGAUACUUCUGAGUGUUCUUAGCGAACCGUCA